rnacentral:rRNA from 1 species
UACGUAGGGUGCGAGCGUUAAUCGGAAUUACUGGGCGUAAAGCGUGCGCAGGCGGCGCCGCAAGUCAGGCGUGAAAUCCCCGAGCUUAACUUGGGAAUGGCGCUUGAAACUACGGUGCUGGAGUGUGGCAGAGGGAGGUGGAAUUCCACGUGUAGCGGUGAAAUGCGUAGAGAUGUGGAGGAACACCGGUGGCGAAGGCGGCAUCCUGGACCAACACUGACGCUGAGGAGCGAAAGCCAGGGGAGCAAACGGG